UUUCUUGCCAAUCUUUCUCUUUGUUCUUUGGCGCUCUCUUUCGUCUCUGCACCAGCUCUCUUUAGCCUCUGCAGUGCCUGUUUGUCUCAGCAGCCCACUACUUAUCCCCCCUGUCCAGGCCACGCCCUUGGUGCACCGGCCUCCUGCUCUCGAUCCCUUGACUGUUGCAACAUCUUAUCCCCUGAUUUGUGGCAACACUGUUGCAACCGGGUCCCGCUAGCAUGGCAAGCCGAGCUUCUGAUUGUGGCUGAGGCUCUAUGUGUCGUGGUUCAUUGGCUGGGUCCGUCAAGGGUGUGUUGGUUCCCCAAGCCGGUCCCCGGCCCCCACUAGGCUGUCCUGGGGGUGGUGGCUGUUACCCCCGCGUGGGCUAUGGCGAUGGCCGGGCCCUCCUGGAAGUGAAGGAUUCCCGUCUGGUUGUCCAGCUGGCUGCUGGUAUUUAACCAAUGUAACCGUCAAUGCCGUGUGCAAGGAACCCCCACAGAGGUCCUCCCCAUGACAAUGGUGGGCCCUGUUGGAACUGUAGAGCUGUUAGCUACUUUGGGGGGUGGAGUCUAUACUGUCGGGCUCCCCUGACUGGGAGUGGCGGUAGCAGCGGCGCUGUGUAGGGCGAUGUGGUGCUGUCAGCUACUUCUGGGGGAAGUGGAGCCCCACUCCCCUGGCUGACAGUGGUUAAAUUGGCUUUUUCCUGUUUCCUUUUAUCAGAAAGAAAGUUAUAAACUGUAAACACAUUAGUUGCUAUUUGCUGUAAAGCUGUAGUUUGUUCCUUUUAAGAGAUAACAACUAACUAACAACAGGCAGCAUUGCCUGGGAGUACAGGAGGAGGCAGUGACGGCAUGUAAUCAUCUUUAUGUUGUCACCAUACCAUAGCCAUUAAUAUGAGUCCACACGGGCAGCCACAAAGGUCUGUCCUCGAAGGUUUUUGGCUGUGCAGAUAUUGGAGAAACCUUGGGAUUUAGACACAAUCAAAAGAUUACUGGUAAAGACCUAUUUAAGCACUGCCAUAAAAUGUUAUUUUUUUGAAUGCCUAUUUGAUAAUGAUUUUACAUUCUAUACUUAUUUUAAAAAGUACUGUAACAUGUGUCUAUGUGUUUAAUUGAUAGAUUUCCUUUGUGUUCCAGAUGGUGUGUCUCAACUGUCCAGGGUAGGUCUAAGUGAAGUCCACCUCCACCUCAGGCUCCCCGAGGACAGUGCAGUCAAUGCAAGCCACCUCAACCUUCACAAUAAGCUACUGACCAAAAGAUACGCCACGACUGCUGGGGCUUUUGAUAUCAAGGUGGUCAUGGGUCACCUCAUCCGCCAACAUAGCCUCAUGUUUCACUCCUAUGCAGAUGACACCCAGCUCUACCUAAAACUAGACCCUUGAUGUCCCUUUGCCAUGGUCCGGCUCUCAGCUUGCAUCCAAGACAUCGAGGCCUGGAUGUCUGCCAAUUUUCUUCAGCUCAACACCAACAAAUCU